rnacentral:lncRNA from 1 species
UCAAAACGCAUCCAUGAAGGACAAUUUUUUUGGAUGUUUGAUGGUUAUUUUCGAGUUAAAAAGAAUAAAAUGCAAAAUAAAAAAUAUCAGGCAAUACCAAAUUCCCAACUUUUGUUAUUUCGGUACACCCUAAUAUCCAUAUUUCCAGUAUUAUCUAGUUCUAUUUUACAACAUGUGACCCUAAAAAUACACUGCUUUUGCCUUGUAUUAUCAAUUAUAAAUUGAUGUUAAUAUAAAUAUUGUAGUCUUUUCCUAGAUAAGUUUGGGAUGCACAUCACAAUUUGCUGUUUACAUGUGCUAACAACCAGAAUUUUGUGACAAGUUUAUUGCUGAUAUAUUGAGUCAAGGACUACUAUUGGGUAAAUGGACAAAUGAACUUUAAUGCGAACAACUGUAACUUCAUAAUUAACAAUUAUAAAUUUGUCAUAGCCGAGUAUCUUUGAUCGUUAAGUCAAAUUUCAAAACUUGAUGAUUUCUUUGACACGAUUUCGUCUCAUUAUGUUCUUUAAUAAUUAUUGAAAAUGUGAGGCACAUUUUCGACCAAAGUUCUUCAACGGGUAUGUUGGACAAACCUAAUACGCCUCUGGUAUACGUACAUAAGUACAAUAAACUUCUAUUGUCAUAUUUCAAUCAUCAGCAAUGAAUUCAAGUCAAUUUUCCUAACAGCAGCUGAGCCAUGUCCUGGCUUACAAGUGACUAUGUUUUGCACUGAUAAGCACCUCUCAACGUCAUCACUUGAAGUUUCAUCUACAUCUGAUUCCUCAAGAAGAGCAUUUUCGGUGAAGUCAAAAGGGACAUCAAAAUCAUUCAAAUUAUCGAUUUCUUCAUUUUCGGAUUUAUCGACAGAUAAACUUUGCAUGCAUUUCAAGGCUUUUUCGGCUGAAACUCUUCGUGAUAAAGUAAGCCAAUCGCAAAAGCUAAGUUGAAGACAAGAUAUUACAGUGAACAGGUUCAAAACUUGAAAAUAAAUGAAUAGUUUAGUCUAUUCGUAUGAAUGCGUUGGGUAAAAGGAAGUAGAGGUAAAUAUAACUUAGAUUGCCUGGUUGAAUUUUCUUAAAAUAUUUAAGGGCUAUCAAUUUAUAAUAUAAUGUUCUACAGUAUAAGAGUCAAAAAUGACCCAUUGUUCUUUGGUAGUUCUAGAACUUAUAAGUAUAGGCACUAAAAAAAAUA